rnacentral:lncRNA from 1 species
GUACUUUGAUUUCUUGAUGGCUGACUAUGAGUACUGAAAACUCCAACCCGGCAGCGUGUAGUGCUGUGCGCCUCUCCUUAUAGAGUUAAACUCAGCCAGGCCUGCCAGAGAGAAACCCUAAACCGGCGCUACAUUCCUGCAGGAACUCUGUCACAGUCUCAGCUCACACUGGCCUCCAGAUGAACAAGGUGAAGAAAUAGAGAAGGCCAUACCCAUGAGGAAGAGGCUCUUGGCAGACAUGGAAUCUACUGGCACCUUAUUCUUGGAUUCUCAAGCCUCCUAAACACUGGAGCUGCCUAAUGCUGACAUUCUCAGGCUGCACAGCAGAAGGCAUCAUGGGAAGCUGAACCAGGUCUCACUCAGUGUGCUCCC